AUUGAACGCUGGCGGCAGGCCUAACACAUGCAAGUCGAGCGAGCGGCGGACGGGUGAGUAAUGUAUGGGAAUCUGCCCGAUAGAGGGGGAUAACUACUGGAAACGGUAGCUAAUACCGCAUACUAUCGGAUGUGCCCAUAUGGGAUUAGCUAGUAGGUGGGGUAAAGGCUCACCUAGGCGACGAUCCCUAGCUGGUCUGAGAGGAUGACCAGCCACACUGGCACUGAGACACGGCCCAGACUCCUACGGGAGGCAGCAGUGGGGAAUAUUGCACAAUGGGCGCAAGCCUGAUGCAGCCAGGCCGCGUGUGUGAAGAAGGCCUUCGGGUUGUAAAGUACUUUCAGCGGGGAGGCGUUACCCACAGAAGAAGCACCGGCUAACUCCGUGCCAGCAGCCGCGGUAAUUC
rnacentral:rRNA from 1 species